CCUUCGGCGCGCCACUUGGCCUUGUCUUUAUAAAUAAUAGCAUAAUAAAUAUAAAUGGACCCAGAACGCGAGGGGGCAGGGGCCACGUGAUCGCUCCACGAAAGCCACUUG
ensembl:misc_RNA